UGACUGCUGGGAGCAGCUACUUCCUCUCAGGAAAAAUGGCCAUUUCGGUUUGGGGGCCGAUGAGCAAAUGUUCCUGGCUGCUGUUUUUCCAAGUCUCCCUGCAGUGCUUCCACCCCAGCAUCUCCUUAGGCACCUCCACUCCCUGUCUCCCUCCCUGCACCAAAGCCUCGGUGAUUUUUAAUGACCAUCAAUCUUCAAUCCUGGCUCUGUCCAGCCCUAAAGUGUUGGCUUGUCUGAAGUUACACCAUCUCGGAUCAAGCCCUGGCUUCCUGCUUCCCAGCUGAGGAUGGUCCCCAAACUCUCCAAGCUUCCAUCUAUUCAUCUGAGAAAUGGGGAUUAGGAUUAUUAUGAUGACCAAAUGCCAUAAUCCAGAGCAGAGUGAGUGAACCAUACAUUCUGCACUAUCUACAGUAACAGAAGAAACUGCUGGAAGAAUAAUGGCCAAUGUCUCACUAAGAACCCUUAAAAACAGCCACUAUCAAUUUAUUCACUGAAAGCUCUAAAUGGCAGGAAAACAAGCCAAAUUAAUGAUGUGCUUACUGUCCCAUCCACAGGAACAGGACAUAAGGAACAGAUGACAUUAUUUUUCAUGAGCCAGAUUCUUCGAAAGCACAACCGCUGGCACCAGAGCACAAGACGACGAAACUCCUCAUUGCUACCUUGUUGCCCAUUUCUAUGUACUGUAAAUGCUCAAUGUUAGCUCCCAUACCCACCAAUGUAAAAGAAGCAUGUGCUUAUCCAUUUUGCUUUAUGUCCAGGCCUGACAUUUCUCCACUUCAUUUUCUUCUCCAAUAGAGUUCAUGUAACCUUUCUUACAUUUUCUCCUGUAAUUCUAAAUGUAUAAAAUCAGCUU